GAAAAUUUUGCGGUUAUCUUUUUUUUUGAUUUGCUAGAAUUCAUGUAAAAACCUAAUAUUGGUAAAAACGAUUAAUUAAAAUUGUCACAAAUUGAUCUUAAUCAGCGGUCACAAUCGGUUAGUUAAGCCUAAACUUGAAUGAGGGCACGGAUAAUCUUUCAAACUACUUUUAACAAUUUUUCAAUAUUUUUCUGGCUGUUUAAAACUCAUGUCUAACAUCUUUAAUUUUUAAAAAUCAUGUGAAACUUGUUCUUAUGUUUUCUCAAUGUCCCUAAACUUUUUUUGCAAACACUGCUAAGAUUUUUUCAAAAUUUUGAUUAAUUUUUCAUUGGCGAAAAAUUUGACAAAAAAAUUGUUGUGAAAAUUGUUUUCGACUCUCAAUGUUCGGAUUGGUCGGAUUGGAAUUUUGUGUACGACUCACCUUGUGGAGUCCAUGCACAAUUUAUCAAGAAGAGAAGUCACAGCAGGAAUUGUACCCAGCCCACUUUCGGAGGUCGAAAAUGCAUCGGGCUCAAAUUUGAAGAGCAGCUGAAGUAUCCAAACAUAGUGCCAAACUCAAUCGUGGCAUUGCAAGCAGCGACGAUAAAAUGCGGACAAUUUAACCAAAAACUUUUCACGGGCCUCUUCUGGGUUUAUGGAAACCUAACUGACUCGAGAUGGGAACGUUUUCAUUGGACUGAAUUUACAAAUCGGGUUCCUUCAUUCGACUAUUUCGACCAGGAAGGAAAUCAAUAUAUUCGCCAGAGUUGCAGGUCCUUGUGGUAUGUUGCCGAUCCGGAAAACCCACCUCGAUCGAAUGUGUUCGUGUCUGGGGCAGGUUAUUACGAUGGUACGCACGACGCUGAUAGUACUUCGACCGCUACUGUAGUCUGUGAUGAAUGGAAGACAUCAAAGAUUUCUGCUUGUGAUCCAGAAGAGCCUUUGAGUUGUCAAGAUGGUGGCUUCGACCUCUGUCUCAAUCUACUCAUGAACUGCGAGGACACUCUUAACGAUGGUUUCAAAUGCAGCAGCUGUGUGAAUGGCACAGAAUUCUACGCACAGCGAGAGUUUGGCUGCAAAAACACAACUUUGUUUUUGUGACUUAUUUGGUGUAACCAAAAGCGAGGUCACACGGCUUAAGAAUAAUUUUCCUUGAAACUUUCCAGAAAAAAAAAUUGACUGCUUGUACUCUAACUUAACUAUCACAGACACAAAAAACCAGAGUAGUAUCUAAAUAUAACAUAAUUGCUCGUAUACCAGCGAAGUCCUG